UGAGACUACGUGAACAACUAUUUUGUGAUGGUUUAUUUGCAAAUAAAAAUAGCACAGAUAGGUUCUGUUGGUCUGCUGAACUACAAACUGAAGUACAAUGAGACAGUGGACUCCGACAUGUAUACAAGUAAAAAAAAACAUUUUGUUUAUAUUUGUUGCCAAUCAAUGCACUGAAAAUAUAUUCAAGGUAUAUAUAUAUAUCAUCAAACUCUGUUUCUCACUCUGUCUCUCACUAUCUGUCUCUGUCUCAUUCUCUGUCUUUCUCUCUCUCUUUGUCUCUCUCUAAAACUAUUUUCCUUCAGACUCUCUAAUUCUCUCUUUCACUUU